rnacentral:rRNA from 1 species
UGGGGAAUUUUCCGUCAAUGGGCGGAAAGCCUGACGGAGCAAUGCCGCGUGGAGGUGGAAGGCCUACGGGUCGUCAACUUCUUUUCUCGGAGAAGAAACAAUGACGGUAUCUGAGGAAUAAGCAUCGGCUAACUCUGUGCCAG